CUAAGAAAAUGAACUGCUGCGGACAUGUCAAGCGGAAGAAGGGAGCUUGCUCCCCGAGGUUAGCGGCUGACCGGCGAGUAACACGUGGGUAACCUGCCUUUAAGACUGGGAUAACUCCGGGAAACCGGAGCUAAUGCCGGAUAGUUCCUUGAACCGCACGGUUCAAGGAUGAAAGACGGUUUCGGCUGUCACUUAAAGAUGGACCCGCGGCGCAUUAGCUAGUUGGUGAGGUAACGGCUCACCAAGGCGACGAUGCGUAGCCGACCUGAGAGGGUGAUCGGCCACACUGGGACUGAGACACGGCCCAGACUCCUACGGGAGGCAGCAGUAGGGAAUCUUCCGCAAUGGACGAAAGUCUGACGGAGCAACGCCGCGUGAGUGAUGAAGGUUUUCGGAUCGUAAAGCUCUGUUGUUAGGGAAGAACAAGUGCAAGAGUAACUGCUUGCACCUUGACGGUACCUAACCAGAAAGCCACGGCUAACUACGUGCCAGCAGCCGCGGUAAUACGUAGGUGGCAAGCGUUGUCCGGAAUUAUUGGGCGUAAAGGGCUCGCAGGCGGUUUCUUAAGUCUGAUGUGAAAGCCCCCGGCUCAACCGGGGAGGGUCAUUGGAAACUGGGAAACUUGAGUGCACAAGAGAGAGUGGAAUUCCACGUGUGCGGUGAAAUGCGGUAAG
rnacentral:rRNA from 2 species